AUACGGAGGAUACAAGCGUUAUCCGGGAUUUAUGGGUUUAAAGGGUGCGCAGGCGGACUAAUGAGUCAGAGGUGAAAUUUUGCAGCUUAACUGUAAACGUGCCUUUGAUACUGUUAGACUAGAGUUUAAGGGACGUAACCGGAAUGUGAUGUGUAGCGGCGAAAUGCAUAGAUAUGUCACAGAACGCCGAUCGUGAAGACAGGUUACGAACUUAAUACUGGACGCUCAGGCACGAAAGCGUGGGGAUC
rnacentral:rRNA from 1 species